rnacentral:lncRNA from 1 species
GGAUCUCCUUAAUGGCACUUCAGUUUCUUGAGGUUGUUGAGUUUGAUUUUCAUUAGUAAUAUCAGGAACUUGAUUAGGGAGAUUUUCGAGAUCGUCUUGAACUGGAUUUGUGUGAUCCGUGUCAGGAAUGGGAACACCCUGACCAAGAUCAACAACUGGAGAGAAAGACACAUGUUCUUCCUCAAAUACAAAAUCUCUA